rnacentral:rRNA from 1 species
GACGAACGCUGGCGGCGUGCCUAAUACAUGCAAGUAGAACGCUGAAGAGAGGAGCUUGCUCUUCUUGGAUGAGUUGCGAACGGGUGAGUAACGCGUAGGUAACCUGCCUUGUAGCGGGGGAUAACUAUUGGAAACGAUAGCUAAUACCGCAUAACAAUGGAUGACACAUGUCAUUUAUUUGAAAGGGGCAAUUGCUCCACUACAAGAUGGACCUGCGUUGUAUUAGCUAGUAGGUGAGGUAACGGCUCACCUAGGCGACGAUACAUAGCCGACCUGAGAGGGUGAUCGGCCACACUGGGACUGAGACACGGCCCAGACUCCUACGGGAGGCAGCAGUAGGGAAUCUUCGGCAAUGGGGGCAACCCUGACCGAGCAACGCCGCGUGAGUGAAGAAGGUUUUCGGAUCGUAAAGCUCUGUUGUAAGUCAAGAACGAGUGUGAGAGUGGUAAGUUCACACUGUGACGGUAGCUUACCAGAAAGGGACGGCUAACUACGUG